CCUACGGGAGGCAGCAGUGGGGAAUAUUGGGCAAUGGAGGCAACCCUGACGCAGCAACGCCGCGUGGAGGAUGAAGGUUUUCGGAUUGUAAACUUCUUUUAUGAGGGAAGAUUAUGACGAUAUCUCACGAAUAAGCACCGACUACCUACGUGCCAGCAGCCGCGGUAAUACGGAGGGUGCAAGAGUUAUUCGGAGUAACUGGGCGUAAUGAGUGAGUAGGAGGGGUAAUAAGUCAGAGGUGAAAUAAUUGAGCUUAACCACAGAACUGCAGUGGAAACUGUUAGUAUGGAGUGUGGGAGAGGGAGGUGGAAUUCCUGGUGUAGGGGUGAAAUCCGUAGAUAUCAAGAGGAACACCAGGGGCGAAGGCGACCUGCUGGAAUAUAACUGACGCUGAGGCACGAAAGCGUGGGGAGCAAACAGGAUUAGAUACCCUGGUAGUC
rnacentral:rRNA from 1 species